UGCGAGUCGAGAGUCUUAGGGACUCGGCGUACCGCUCAGUAACACGUGGGUAACCUGCCCUAUGCUGGGGAAUAACCUCGGGAAACUGAGAAUAAUGCCCCAUAGUUCACUACGCCUGGAACGGUGAGUGGAUGAAAGCUCCGGCGGCAUAGGAUGGGCCUGCGGCGUAUCAGGUCGUAGGGGGUGUAACGUACCCUCUAGCCAUCGACGCGUACGGGUGUUGGGAGACAUAGCCCGGAGAUGGAUUCUGAGACACGAAUCCAGACCCUACGGGGUGCAGCAGGCGCGAAAACUUGGCAAUGCGAGAAAUCGUGACCAGGGAACUCCAAGUGGCUGGGGUAAGACCCAGUCUUUUCUUUUCUCUUCAAAGGAUUUGGAAUAAGAGGUGGGUAAGGACGGUGCCAGCCGCCGCGGUAAUACCGGCGCCUCGAGUGGUAGUCGAUUUUAUUGGGCCUAAAACGUCCGUCGCCGGUCUGGUGCAUCCGUGGGUAAAUCAACCCGCUCAACGGGUUGAAUUCUGCGAGCACGGCCAGACUAGGGACCGGGAGAGGUGUGGGGUACGCUCGGGGUAGGGGUAAAAUCCUGUCAUCCCGAGCGGACCACCUGUCGCGAAGGCUCCACACUAGAACGGAUCCGACGGUCAGGGACGAAGCCUAGGGGCACGAACCGGAUUAGAUACCCGGGUAGUCCUAGGUGUAAACGCUGUGGACUUGGUGUUGGGGAUUCUCCGAGGAUUCUCAGUGCCGAAGCGAAGGUGAUAAAUCCACUGCCUGGGGAGUACGUC
rnacentral:rRNA from 1 species